ensembl:miRNA Mir664 microRNA 664
CUGGCUGGGGAAAAUGACUGGAUAGAAAACAUUAUUCUAUUCAUUUACUCCCCAGCCUACACAUGAAAG